rnacentral:rRNA from 1 species
GACGAACGCUGGCGGCGUGCUUAACACAUGCAAGUCGAACGAAGUGGCGAACGGGUGAGUAAUACGUGAGUAACCUGCCCUCCUUUUUGGGAUAAGCCUUGGAAACGGGGUCUAAUACCGAAUAAAGGGGGAUGGGCUCGCGGCCUAUCGGCUUGUUGGUGGGGUGAUGGCCUACCAAGGCGGUGACGGGUAGCCGGCCGGAGAGGGUGACCGGCCAAUGUGGGACUGAGGUACGGCCCAUCUUGCAUCAUUAAUCAUCAAUAUUGGAUAUUACACAAUGGGCGAAGACCUGAUGCAGCGACGCCGCGUGGGAAAGGAAGGCUUUCGAUUUGUAAACCUCUUUCGCUAUCGAACGGGUAGGUGGAGAAGAGGCGCCGGCUAACUACGUGCCAGCCGCCGCGGUAAUAC